ACUCCUACGGGAGGCAGCAGUGGGGAAUAUUGCACAAUGGGCGCAAGCCUGAUGCAGCCAUGCCGCGUGUAUGAAGAAGGCCUUCGGGUUGUAAAGUACUUUCAGCAGUGAGGAAGGCGGGUACGUUAAUAGCGUGCUCGUUUGACGUUAGCUGCAGAAGAAGCACCGGCUAACUCCGUGCCAGCAGCCGCGGUAAUACGGAGGGUGCGAGCGUUAAUCGGAAUUACUGGGCGUAAAGGGCUCGUAGGUGGUUUGUCGCGUCGUCUGUGAAAUUCCGGGGCUUAACUCCGGGCGUGCAGGCGAUACGGGCAUAACUUGAGUACUGUAGGGGUAACUGGAAUUCCUGGUGUAGCGGUGAAAUGCGCAGAUAUCAGGAGGAACACCGAUGGCGAAGGCAGGUUACUGGGCAGUUACUGACGCUGAGGAGCGAAAGCAUGGGUAGCGAACAGGAUUAGAUACCCUGGUAGCUACGAGU
rnacentral:rRNA from 1 species